CGUAGUCUCAACCUUACUCUCAAACGUCUUGAGUGGGACACGCACUAGUGUCAAAACUUAAUUUUAAUGUGCGCGCACCAACCUUCCCCAAGCCAGUCGAGCUCUGUGAGGGCGGGGACUUGGGCAAAAUCAAAAAUCACAAAACGCCAAGCAAGAUACUGAACACAGCAGGCUCACGCUAAAGACAAAUAUGAAGGGUCUUUCUGCAAUAACUACACCAAAUUUUUAUCUAAACUAAAUCAGUCUCUUUAGCAUACCCGCUCACAACUCGAACCACUUCCUACCCACGCAACGAACUCCGCACCGACUUAGAAAGUCACUCACCCCAGCGCUAGAGAAAAACAAGGAAGUUUAGACGGCGCGCUAGUGACGUCACACGCACGCGGCGGCCCAGGUCUUACGCAUGCGUACACGGUCUCUAGGGCUAAACUUACUGCUCCCAGGCCGUGGAGGACGAACUGCAUGCAUGAUGAUGGUUCCUAGGCCUAAGGUUUCUCUGCAGAGGUGGAGAAGAAAGAAAUUAAAGACGAUCCAUCAAAAAGCUAGAAGGAAUGGAAAAGUCAACAUCACAGAGUUCCCUUGCUGAACACUGAAGGGGACCAUUUUGAGAGAGAAGAUUCAGAGAUCACUGACCACUUCAGAUCAUGAGCAAAUCUGUCAGAGCAGCACAUUUCCAAAGUGGUUGGUGCCAUCCAGUGGAAAAUUAACUUCUGUGUUAGACAUCAGGCUCAAGUGUGU
rnacentral:lncRNA from 1 species